GCCAUGUGAAGAUGAAGGCAGACAUUGGGGUAAUAUGUCAACAAGCCAAGGAACGCCAAAUGUUGCCAGAAGACCACCAGAGGCUAGGAGAGAGGAAUGGAACAGAUUCUUCCUCACACCCUCGGAAGGAACGAAUUCUGCCAAUACCUUGAUCUUGGACUUCCAGCCUCCAAAACUGUAUGGAAACUGAGGCCUGUAGAGACUGAAUAACUUGCCCAAGAUUAAGCUCUGGGUGGAAGGAGCCAAAUGGUACAAACGUGUGUCACCGUGCCUACCAGACGUGUCCUUGUCAAGCCCUACCAGGUGCUGUGGAGGUGACUGUACCCAGACAUUACACAACCACCACGGCUUGCCUCUGUCCACUGGCCUCAGUCCUGUUCUGUGUAACAUUUUUAACAACAAACUGGAUGAAAACACAGGAAAACGUUUAUCAAUGUAAAGCACAAAUGAAGCUAAGAAUAGAAAAUACGAAGAUUGACAGAGUCAGGAUCCGGGAUCCCAUCUCCCCAAGAUAACAAGAUGAACUAUAAUCAAGAUAAAUGUAAAGUCCUGUAUUCAGAGUCACAAAAACAACUGCAGAGCAACACAGACAAAAAGACCCAGAUAUUGCUGGACUCUUCUUUUGGUAUUUCACAUAUAAACAGUGUGCUGCUAUUCACAGAGCACUUGCCUCUCAUUUAAUCACUUAGGACGUUAGCUUUUGUGAAUCUGAUAUGUUAGAUAAAAAUUUACUCUGGUUUAUCCUUUUGGUUGCAACUUCAGCAUUUCCUUAUUAGGUUUAGUUAAGUCUGAGUUCAUGGACAUCACCAAGCAUAGCUGCAUCCUAAUCUUUGUCACACCUAAAAGUGUCAACGGUGUGUACUGUGCCCAGGAUUGGACAGUGAGGCAUGGCCAAGCCUAGGAUGAGACAUAAGAUUUCCCCCUUAAACUCGGAAUCCUACUUUUUUUUUUUUUUUUUGACAGAGAGAGAGAGACAGUGAGAGGGAA